rnacentral:rRNA from 1 species
CACGGAGUUGGCCGAUGCUUUUUCUUCGGAUACACGCAGUCCGGGACACGUCCCGGGUUUUGUUCUCCGACAAAAGAGGUUUACAACCCAUAGGGCCGUCUUCCCUCACGCGGCUUGGCUGGUUCAGGAUCUCUCCCAUUGACCAAUAUUCCUCACUGCUGCCUCCCGUAGGAGUCUGGUCCGUGUCUCAGUACCAGUGUGGGGGACCUUCCUCUCAGAACCCCUACGCAUCGUCGCCACGGUGGGCCGUUACCCCGCCGUCAAGCUAAUGCGCCGCAUGCCCAUCCUCUUCCGAUGAAUCUUUCCUCGAUCUCGGAUGCCCGAAACCGAUAUACGCGGGAUUAGCCUCCCUUUCGGAAGGUUGUCCCCCUGAAGAGGGCAGGUUGCAUACGUGUUACUCACCCGUGCGCCGGUCGCCGGCAAGGAAAGCAAGCUUCCCUCCCGAUGCCCCUCGACUUGCAUGUGUUAAGCCUGCCGCUAGCGUUCAUCCUGAGCCAGGAUCAAACUCU